rnacentral:rRNA from 1 species
AACGCGAAGAACCUUACCCAGGCUNGACAUCCUAGGAACCCUUGAGAAAUCAGGGGGUGCCCUCGGGAGCCUAGUGACAGGUGCUGCAUGGCCGUCGUCAGCUCGUGUCGUGAGAUGUUGGGUUAAGUCCCGCAACGAGCGCAACCCUUAUCGUAUGUUGUAUUUUUCAUGCGAGACUGCCCGGGCCAACCGGGAGGAAGGUGGGGAUGACGUCAGGUCAGCAUGGCCCUUACGCCUGGGGCUACACACGUCAUACAAUGGCCGGUACAACGCGCUGCAAACCCGCGAGGGGGAGCUAAUCGCACCAAAACCGGUCUCAGUUCGGAUUGCAGGCUGCAACUCGCCUGCAUGAAGUCGGAAUCGCUAGUAAACGUGGGUCAGCAUACCACGUUGAAUACGUUCCCGGGUCUUGUACACACCGA